UUAUUUCCAAUUUUAUAAUCUAAAUAACCCAAAUUAUUGCUGUUAAUUAUUUACAGUGUAAGAUUAAAAACGGUAGAUAGAAGAAGUUAUGGCGGGUUUAGAGAGCGGUAGAGGAAGCGCCGGUGUGUCUACCGCCGAGCAAAGCUAAUGGGUUCAGACAGUGGCAGAGAAAAGAAAGGUCAGCCAUGACACUCCAUGUUUGUGUCCUUUGUGAAAUCUCUGCCUCUCGCUAUCUACAGCAGCCUGGUGGCAAUAUUCUGCUCAUGUGGAGCCAAAAAUGAUACAGCAGGUUUCACAACUCAGGGGAUUUUAUUUCACCGCCAGUUAUGUGUCAAGAUUGUCACCUGCGACAACAGGGUCGCCAUGUCAGGUAACGCCAGAGUCACGUUCCUCUGAUUGGGCGGAAGUGACCGGAACCGCUGCCGCUACUGCUGGAUUAUUUCUUAACCGCAGCUUUUAAAAGACUGCCAGCUAAAACCUAAUUGCUGCCCAGCAGCAACGGAGAAAGCUGGACGUUAAGCCUGCGGCUGGUGGUACAGGAGAGUGGGAUUCCUGUGGAAGCAGCUGUCUCCGUGGGACCGGCCGUUAAAUCCCCGCUGUCAGCUGCCGGCCGCUGCCUCGUGAAACAGCAUCGAUAAGGUGAAGGGUGAAAACUGUGGCGCCGUGGAUCUGCAGCCGGGUUGCCUAGCAGCAAACUGAAUGCGACCUGAACACGCCGUCUCCCCCUGCGCGGCGGCGAGCGUCGCCUUCUCUGGAAGAGAGCGGCGUGAUGAAGCGACCCGGGACCAGCUGUGCUGCUCAGCAUCGCUCUCCAUCUUCCCCGGUCCUGGCUGACCCAUUUUCAGGAAACACCGAGGGAACAAACCAGAUGUGAACCUGCCUGGAGAGAUCAGCGGUGACAUAAUGACUCACACACACACACACACACACACGAGCGACUGCAGCGCUGCUCUGGGUCGUUUACAGGUGAAACAUAAAUACAUUGAUUACAGCUGAUUGGGGAAAUUUUCUUCUUACUCGGACCUGAUUAUACGUUCCAGAUGUUUUCUACCCAGGUUAUUUACAAUAUAAUUAUUAAAAAAUCAUUUUUAAGUGAGUUAAUUGUGCGGUCUGUGAUUCAUUAAUCAAAUUUUAGUCAAAAUAAGCAACAUUUUCAAUUCAUUUCAGCUAUGACAGUUAUAUCAGUAAUACGGUGAAAAAAAUGACUUAUCAUCCUGACAUUUUUUUUCUCUGAGGGGCUUCAUCAAAAUAUUGCAAAUUUUUUUUUGUAUGUAAGUGUACAAAUGAUACAAAUAGUUAAAUUCAUGUAAUGUGAGCAGAUACAUUUCCACAAAAUACAGACAAGCAGUGAACUGAGUGCAAAUAUUACUCUUGGUUUGAUGUUUAAAGAAAAUAUUUUCAUAAAAGCAUCUUCUUCCUCCUGCUGAAAGCAGACAUGAGGCGGCUGACUUUCCUCUGCUGGGACAGUUGCUGUUUUAGCAAACCUGUAAAUAAAUAAUCAGCAGCAUCACGCAAGCAGAACGUGUGAAGAUGUUCAGCCAUGAUUUUAAUCAAACAUGAACAGUGUGAACACGAAAGGCAGCUUUUCCCAUGUUGGGUGGUGAAAUGAUCAGAAAACCAAGCAUCUGAACAAACAGCCAGAAACCAGCCAUCAAACAGCAAAACGUUGCAAUCAGUCAGAAACGUCUCCAUCUUCACUCUGAACAAAACUCUCUAAGCAUCUUCAAUUUGAUUAAAACUUACACAACUCAUUAGGCAGCUAUGAUUGAAUAAUCAUCGAAAGCCACGGUCACCGCUCAGGUUACCAUGGAAACGACAACAGAAAACUUAGAAAGUAUUCACACCUCUUAAACUUUAUCACAUAUCCUCACCAAUAACCACAACCUAUGAUAUCGGAGAACCUAAAGCAGGGGAAUGCAACCCAAAUCCGAUAUUUUCACCUAUAAAAAUCAGAUUUGAGGAACUAAAUUGUCGGCCUGUCACAAUAACAAACUUUUCUGGACAAUAAAUCGUCCCAGAACUUAUUGCGAUGAACAAUAAUGUUGUUUUGACACAAUUUUCCAGUCAUAUAAUGGCAUAACAAAGCAAGAACACAUUCUCAAAGAUUAAUAAACUGUAAAUUCUAGUGAACAGUUAGCACUAGAGCUGGAAGACAUUUUAAAUAUCCAAAAUAAACAACAAAUAAAAUUAAUUACA